ACGCCUCUUCUCACACUCGUUUGCACAUAUACUGAGGGAAACAAAUAAGGGAACACCACUUCAUUGCGGUGUUCCUUUGUUUAUUCUUAGAUUUCAUUCCACAGCACUAUUCAAAGCUGAUGAUGAAAACUAGAAAAUAUUAAAGGAACACCUGGAUUUU